GACGAACGCUGGCGGCGUGCCUAAUACAUGCAAGUAGGACGCAGUUGCGAACGGGUGAGUAACGCGUAGGUAACUACCUAUUAGAGGGGGAUAACUAUUGGAAACGAUAGCUAAUACCGCAUACUAGUAGAUGUACCUGCGUUGUAUUAGCUAGUAGGUAGGGUAAUAGCCUACCUAGGCAACGAGUCAUAGCCGACCUGAGAGGGUGAGUGGCCACAAUGGGAACGAGACACGGCCAAGACUCCGACGGGAGGCAGCCGUAGGGAAUCUUAGGCAAUGGUGGGAACCCUGACCGAGCAACGCCGCGUGAGUGCAGAAGGUUUUCGGAUCGUAAAGCGCUGUUGUUAAGGAAGCGGUACUUAACCAGAAAGGGACGGCUAACUACGGGCCAGCAGCCGCGGUAAUUC
rnacentral:rRNA from 1 species